rnacentral:rRNA from 1 species
GUGACCUCAAAUCAGGUAGGACUACCCGCUGAACUUAAGCAUAUCAAUAAGCGGAGGAAAAGAAACUAACAAGGAUUCCCCUAGUAACUGCGAGUGAAGCGGGAAAAGCUCAAAUUA